rnacentral:rRNA from 1 species
UGGCGAACGGGUGAGUAACAUAUCGGAACGUACGAGUAUGGGGAUAACUAAUCGAAAGAUUAGCUAAUACCGCAUAUUCUCUGAGGAGGAAAGCAGGGGACCUUCGGGCCUUGCGUUAUUCGAGCGGCCGAUAUCUGAUUAGCUAGUUGGUGGGGUAAAGGCCUACCAAGGCGACGAUCAGUAGCGGGUCUGAGAGGAUGAUCCGCCACACUGGGACUGAGACACGGCCCAG